rnacentral:rRNA from 1 species
CCCUUAGAUGUCCGGGGCUGCACGCGCGCUACACUGAAGGAAUCAGCGUGCUAAAACCAUUGUCGAAAGGCAUUGGUAAACCCAUUAAAAUCCUACGUGAUUGGGAUCGGGAAUUGCAAUUAUUUCCCUUGAACGAGGAAUUCCCAGUAAGCGUGGGUCAUAAGCUCGCGUUGAUUACGUCCCUGCCCUUUGUACACACCGCCCGUCGCUGCCCGGGACUGAGCCGUUUCGAGAAAAGCGGGGACUGCUGCUGUCGGGGCUUUCGGGCCUUGGCUUCGGUGGAAACCGCUUUAAUCGCAGUGGCUUGAACCGGGCAAAANUCGUANCA